UAAAAGGUAAGCUAAUUAAGCUAUCGGGCUCAUACCCCGCCAAUGAGGGCGAGACCCCUCUCUUUUA
rnacentral:tRNA from 1 species